CAGCGAUUUCCUGGCGCUGCUCAACGACGAGCGCCUGCACCCCAACGCCUCCGAGUGGAAGCGGAACCUGCUGCGGAUCCAGCGCCUGGUGCUGAUCGGGGGCCCCGACGACGGCGUCAUCACCCCCUGGCAGUCCAGCCUUUUCGGGUUCUACGACGCCAACGAGACCGUGCGGGACAUGGAGGCGCAGCCGGUGAGGGGCGGG